rnacentral:rRNA from 1 species
GACGAACGCUGGCGGCGUGCUUAACACAUGCAAGUCGAACGGAAAGGCCCUGCUUUUGUGGGGUGCUCGAGUGGCGAACGGGUGAGUAACACGUGAGUAACCUGCUCUUGACUUUGGGAUAACUUCAGGAAACUGGGGCUAAUACCGGAUAGGAGCUCCUGCUGCAUGGUGGGGGUUGGAAAGUUUCGGCGGUUGGGGAUGGACUCGCGGCUUAUCAGCUUGUUGGUGGGGUAGUGGCUUACCAAGGCUUUGACGGGUAGCCGGCCUGAGAGGGUGACCGGCCACAUUGGUACUGAGAUAGGGCGCAGACUCCUACGGGAGGCAGCAGUGGGGAAUAUUGCACAAUGAGCGGAAGCCUGAUGCAGCAACGCCGCGUGCGGGAUGACGGCCUUCGGGGUGUAAACCGCUUUCGCCUGUGACGAAGCGUGAGUGACGGUAAUGGGUAAAGAAGCACCGGCUAACUACGUG